rnacentral:rRNA from 1 species
UGGGGAAUAUUUGACAAUGGGGGGAACCCUGAUCCAGCCAUGCCGCGCGUGUGAAGAAGGCCUUUUGGUUGUAAAGCACUUUAAGCGAGGAGGAGGCUACCGAGAUUAAUACUCUUGGAUAGUGGACGUUACUCGCAGAAUAAGCACCGGCUAACUCUGUGCCAGCAGCCGCGGUAAUACAGAGGGUGCAAGCGUUAAUCGGAUUUACUGGGCGUAAAGCGCGCGUAGGUGGCCAAUUAAGUCAAAUGUGAAAUCCCCGAGCUUAACUUGGGAAUUGCAUUCGAUACUGGUUGGCUAGAGUAUGGGAGGGGAUGGUAGAAUUCCAUGUGUAGCGGUGAAAUGCGUAGAGAUCUGGAGGAAUACCGAUGGCGAAGGCAGCCAUCUGGCCUAAUACUGACACUGAGGUGCGAGAGCAUGGGGAGCAAACAGG